GACGAACGCUGGCGGCGUGCCUAAUACAUGCGGGUUGAGCGCUGAAGGUUGGUACUUGUACCAACUGGAUGAGCAGCGAACGGGUGAGUAACGCGUGGGGAAUCUGCCUUUGAGCGGGGGACAACAUUUGGAAACGAAUGCUAAUACCGCAUAAAAACUUUAAACACAAGUUUUAAGUUUGAAAGAUGCAAUUGCAUCACUCAAAGAUGAUCCCGCGUUGUAUUAGCUAGUUGGUGAGGUAAAGGCUCACCAAGGCGAUGAUACAUAGCCGACCUGAGAGGGUGAUCGGCCACAUUGGGACUGAGACACGGCCCAAACUCCUACGGGAGGCAGCAGUAGGGAAUCUUCGGCAAUGGACGAAAGUCUGACCGAGCAACGCCGCGUGAGUGAAGAAGGUUUUCGGAUCGUAAAACUCUGUUGGUAGAGAAGAACGUUGGUGAGAGUGGAAAGCUCAUCAAGUGACGGUAACUACCCAGAAAGGGACGGCUAACUACGUG
rnacentral:rRNA from 1 species